AAUCCAUGUUGUGGGCACUUGCAGGGAGCUCCUUUAACCUUUCCCAUGUCUCAAAUAGAGACUCCAGUCGACUAUACAAAGGAUGAGAUCUCAUUCCUAAGCUU